GUAACUCGCGAACAUGUGUACUGCAUGAGAGUAUUGUAUGAUGAUGACAGAGAUAAAUGGGUUUGUGAAGAAUGCAACUCCUCCAAUCAUUCGUCAAUAAAAGCUCCAACCAAACAACCUAGUGGCACAAGAAG